UAGGGAAUCUUCCGCAAUGGGCGAAAGCCUGACGGAGCAACGCCGCGUGAGUGAUGAAGGUCUUCGGAUCGUAAAACUCUGUUAUUAGGGAAGAACAAAUGUGUAAGUAACUAUGCACGUCUUGACGGUACCUAAUCAGAAAGCCACGGCUAACUACGUGCCAGCAGCCGCGGUAAUACGUAGGUGGCAAGCGUUAUCCGGAAUUAUUGGGCGUAAAGCGCGCGUAGGCGGUUUUUUAAGUCUGUUGUGAAAGCCCACGGCUCAACCGUGGAGGAUCAUUGGAAACUGGAAAACUUGAGUGCAGAAGAGGAAAGUGGAAUUCCAUGUGUAGCGGUGAAAUGCGCAGAGAUAUGGAGGAACACCAGUGGCGAAGGCGACUUUCUGGUCUGUAACUGACGCUGAUGUGCGAAAGCGUGGGGAUCAAACAGG
rnacentral:rRNA from 1 species